rnacentral:rRNA from 1 species
GAUGAACGCUGGCGGCGUGCCUAAUACAUGCAAGUCGAGCGAACAGAUAAGGAGCUUGCUCCUUUGACGUUAGCGGCGGACGGGUGAGUAACACGUGGAUAACCUACCUAUAAGACUGGGAUAACUUCGGGAAACCGGAGCUAAUACCGGAUAACAUAUUGAACCGCAUGGUUCAAUAGUGAAAGGCGGCUUUGCUGUCACUUAUAGAUGGAUCCGCGCCGUAUUAGCUAGUUGGUAAGGUAACGGCUUACCAAGGCAACGAUACGUAGCCGACCUGAGAGGGUGAUCGGCCACACUGGAACUGAGACACGGUCCAGACUCUUACGGGAGGCAGCAGUAGGGAAUCUUCCGCAAUGGGCGAAAGCCUGACGGAGCAACGCCGCGUGAUUGAUGAAGGUCUUCGGAUCGUAAAACUCUGUUAUCAGGGAAGAACAAAUGUGUAAGUAACUGUGCACAUCUUGACGGUACCUGAUCAGAAAGCCACGGCUAACUACGUG